CAUAACCCUAACCUUAAUUUUCCCCCUACGCCGACUGUCUCUCUCCCUUCCUAUCUCUGUCUCCCCCCUUCUUCCUCGUUUUCCCCUUUGACGGUUCCUUCUCCGAUGGUUGUUACCAGCCAUUUAAUGGCCAGCCUCUUUAAAUGGCUGGUGCUAAAAUGAUUUGGGGGAUAACAGACGAAAUCCUCCAUCUUCUUCUUUCUCCCUUUCUUUAAAACCUUAACCAAUUCUUCAUGCUCUAAAUCUGAAGGCACUAGGUUAACCAAUAGCCUUAGUGGCCUAGCCUUGGUAGCUAUGUGAAAAAGCCUUAGUGGCAUUCUUUUGGUGGUUCUGUGAAAAAGCCUUCGUGACUAAGCUUUGGUGGCUCUGUGAUUUUAAGCAACCGUGUGUUUAAGGGUUGUUGGCCUUUGGCCUUUGUGACUACUGGAUCUAGGCUAUCUGAGCCUUAAUCUCUAUUAUUUGUUACAUGCAUUAUCUGUCUUUGAUUUUGCAGUUCUUAGGGUUAAGCAUUAUUUUAUUCUGUAUAUUUGUGAGGCUUGUAAUUAUUUUGUAUAAGGAUUUCUUCAACCCAGAAGGUCUGUAAUAAUUUUAAAUUUCUGUAUUAUUCAUUGGAGUUGGUGAUCGAUUCACAUCCAAUAGUGGUACCAGAGCUCUAGGUUAAGUCUCCGGCUCAUUCUCCACAAAAACGUUGUAAAUUUUGUUGAGGAGUUGCAAGGCAUACAAGUUGAUACACUACCUAGCUAGCAGAAAGUCAGUGACUGGGCCUUUGCCUCUUAGACAAUGAAGGGUGAACAACAACAGAAGAAAAACUGAAGCUGGUGCUGUAGCAGGUCCACCUCACAAGAAGUCCAAGUUGUGGGUUCUAACCCAACAAACAACGUCCAAUAUCAUUACAAAACCAACUGAGAAGAAUCUGGAUCAGAAUUAUUACUAUCAACUACCUCCAACAGUAGUGGACAUGGUCGCUUUUGAGUGUUCUUUUAAUGUCUUUUGAACAUGUACAAUCUUGGAUUGUCUUGUUAAAUUAUGCAUAUGUACAAU